rnacentral:rRNA from 1 species
GGUAGCAUAAUAAUUAGUUUCUUAAUUGGAAAAUAGGAUGAACGGUUUCACUAGAGCUUGAACUAAUCCUCCAGCUCACAAACUUUUACUCUCUGUGAAAAUACAGAGAUUCCCUCAAUAGACAAAAAGACCCUAUGAAGCUAGUAAUAUCACCUCCCCGACAGUUACCAAGAUAUUAAUUUUUUGGGGAAAAACUUAAAAAUUGUAUUCUUGAUUCCUAUUUUCUGAUCCCGCAGGAUAAAAUGAAAAAGCUCCUCUAGGGAUAACAGCGUAAUAAUAAUAAG